CGGGCAGGAGCUCAUGUUCCGGUUUGGGCGUCUUGUAGCCUUGGACCCAGGGAGGAGCUGAUGUUCCGGUUGGAGGGUCUUACAGCCGCAGACCCGAGGAGGAGCUGAUGUUCCGGUUUGGGGGUCUUGCAGCCGCAGACCUGGGGAGGAGCUGAUGUUCCGGUUUGAGAGUCGUGCAGCCGCAGUCCCGGGAAGGAGCUGAUGUUCCGGUUUGAGGGUCGUGCAGCCGCUGACCCGGGGAGGGGAUGAUGUUCCGGUUCGAGGGUCCUGCAGGCAGAGACCCAGGGAGGAGCUCAUAUUCCGGUUUGAGGGUCGUGCAGCCGCAGACCCAGGGAAGAGCUGAUGUU